AUGGUCCUACGAAAUGAGAAAGGAGACGCCAUCUUUUCUUCAUGCAGAUUCCUGUACACAUGCAAUAACGCAUUGGAGACUGAGCUAGCUGCUUGCUUGGAGGGCAUUGCGCUCACUCUGGAGUGGAGUGAGGCUCCGUUUAUCCUCGAGACUGACUGCAUAGUGGCAGCCAGCAUGAUUAUGCAAACGGAGCAGGAUCGAUCACCGGCUGCAGCCACGGUCGAAGAAAUUAAACGCCUUCUGUGCAUGGACAGGGAGCAUGCUAUUUCCCUGGUCCGUUGCCAUCGUAACUCUGUUACUCAUAGCCUUGCCCAGUUGGGCCAUAAUAACUCUCGUACUGCUAUUUGGCUGAGGUCUAUUCCUCAAGAGAUUCAUUUGCUGUAUCGAAACAAUUGUAAUAAUCCCUAUGGUUAA
rnacentral:rRNA from 1 species